GAGUUUGAUCCUGGCUCAGAUUGAACGCUGGCGGCAGGCCUAACACAUGCAAGUCGAGCGGAAACGAUCCUAGCUUGCUAGGAGGCGUCGAGCGGCGGACGGGUGAGUAACACGUGAGAAUCUACCCAUUAGUGGGGGAUAACCUGGGGAAACCCAGGCUAAUACCGCAUAAUCUCUACGGAGGAAAGCAGGGGAUCUUCGGACCUUGUGCUGAUGGAUGAGCUCGCGUCGGAUUAGCUUGUUGGUGAGGUAAUGGCUCACCAAGGCGACGAUCCGUAGCUAGUCUUAGAGGAUGAUCAGCCACACCGGGACUGAGACACGGCCCGGACUCCUACGGGAGGCAGCAGUGGGGAAUCUUGGACAAUGGGGGCAACCCUGAUCCAGCCAUGCCGCGUGUGUGAAGAAGGCCUUCGGGUUGUAAAGCACUUUCAGUAGGGAGGAAGGCUUAUCCUUAAUACGGAUGAGUACUUGACGUUACCUACAGAAGAAGCACCGGCUAAUUUCGUGCCAGCAGCCGCGGUAAUACGAAAGGUGCGAGCGUUAAUCGGAAUUACUGGGCGUAAAGCGCGCGUAGGCGGUUUGCUAAGUCAGAUGUGAAAGCCCCGGGCUCAACCUGGGAACUGCAUUUGAAACUGGCAGGCUAGAAUACAGUAGAGGGAGGUGGAAUUUCCGGUGUAGCGGUGAAAUGCGUAGAGAUCGGAAGGAACACCAGUGGCGAAGGCGGCCUCCUGGACUGACAUUGACGCUGAGGUGCGAAAGCGUGGGGAGCGAACAGGAUUAGAUACCCUGGUAGUCCACGCCGUAAACGAUGUCUACUAGUCGUUGGGAAUCUUAGUAUUCUUG
rnacentral:rRNA from 1 species